rnacentral:lncRNA from 1 species
AUGUGCCUUAUGUUGAGCCUUUUUAUUUUAUUUUAUUUUUUUAAAAUUUUAUAACAUUACUUGUUCUUAUUUAUUAAGCCCGAUUAAUUAUGAGAUUAUAAAGCGAAUAAGUUGAAGUAUUUAUUUUCUAUUGACUACGAGGAGCAAGGUUUAUUUAAUUGGCGGAUUAGAACACCCUAAGAGAACGGAUUAAUUUUUAUUAAUUAUCCGGCUUCAUGAGACGAAACUUAGUUUUUAUUUAAAUCCGAUAGCUUGGAUUAACAAUAGAAAUUCCCUGAUUAUUAUUUCAGAAUAAUAAUUCAUGCAUAAGGAUCAUGCAUAGUUAAAUACACAUUCUCAUUUGAGGAUUUUUUUUAUUCGAGCAAAUAUCUUAUAUAUGUACAUAUAUUCUCGUAAUAAAGGUCAAGGGCGAGAUUGAUAAUCUGUUGAGGAGCUUUUGUAUCACAGAAAAUUACUAUCAGGUGGGCAUUACUUUCAUAUA